rnacentral:hammerhead_ribozyme from 1 species
AUCUAGUUGACCAGUCCAAGAUAGGAUGAAACGCGCGUCAAACUGGAU